AUGAAUGUUUAAAAAUUUAAAACUCAAAGAACUUGGCGGUGUUUUAGACCACCCAGGGGAACCUGUCUCAUAAUCGAUAAUCCACGUUGCACCUGACCUCUUUUUGUUUUCAGUUUGUAUACCGUUGUCGUCAGGGAACUUUUUAGAAACUAGAAGUUAGCAAUUAAAAUAUAAUUUAGUAUGUCAAAUCAAGGUGCAGCUAAUAAAGGGGGGAGGAUGGGUUACAAUUAUAAUUUAUAAUGACGGAAGGAGGACUUGGAAGUAAAUUAGAUAUAAAUAUUUGAAUUAGGCUCUGAAACGUGU
rnacentral:rRNA from 1 species